rnacentral:rRNA from 1 species
UACCAGCACCUCGAGUGGUCGGGACGAUUAUUGGGCCUAAAGCAUCCGUAGCCGGUUCUACAAGUCUUCCGUUAAAUCCACCUGCUCAACAGUUGGGCUGCGGAGGAUACUAUAGAGCUAGGAGGCGGGAGAGGCAAGCGGUACUUAGUGGGUAGGGGUAAAAUCCGUUGAUCCAUUGAAGACCACCAGUGGCGAAGGCGGCUUGCCAGAACGCACUCGACGGUGAGGGAUGAAAGCUGGGGGAGCAAACCGG